rnacentral:misc_RNA from 1 species
CACGACGCACAAUAGAGAGACGGCCUUGUUGUUUUGCACGCCCGCGGACUGUCCUUCCCUUUUGUUUUUCUUCCUAACGUGCUAUGUGGAAGCAGACAGUCGGCGACUGGCAGGAACGGCGGCAGCGGCGUCGCGGGGGACCAAUCCCUGAAUCUCCUCAAGUGAACGUGCCUGACUCUGCUGAUGCCACGGAGAGCAUCCUACGAGGCUUUCUGCCGCGCGAGUUCCGCGAUCAUGUGCCGCAGUCCGCGUACCCGGCAUCCGAUGGACCUGAGACUCGCCCGCAGCCGUCACAGUACACACGACUGGAGCAGCAGACGCUGGGCUGCUUCAUUGCCUCGACGUGGGUUGUGGUGAGUGGGGUGCCGGCUGAUGACGUCCUUGAUGUGCGCGACUACUUCGACGCCUACGUUGGUCGUACUGUGGCGCACUACCUGCCCCUCACCACAUCUGCGCGGUCGGAGGUGUACAUUCAGUUUGCGUCCCCGCUGCAAGCGGCGCAGGCGGUGCGCACCUCCUCGUACAGCUUCAACGUGGAGAAGGGGACGGCCGCAGAGAGUCUGCGCUCUUUCCCAGCCGCAGGCGGCAUGCCAGAGAAGCCGCCGCGCAGUCUUGAGCUGGCUGUUGGUUGGUGCAGAGAUCAGGUAUUUCUUGAAUGGCGCGAGCGUCUGCGACGUCAGCUGUUAGAGGCGCGGCCACAGAGCCAGGGUGGUGCGACGUUGGAGCCAGUGUCGUCGGUGGGGAAGGCACUGCACACGAGCGAGCUACCGAGCUCACGCUCGUCUGCGCCGCCGUCGCUCGAGUCUUCCGCCCGUGGUUCUGAUGCAGCCGCGGCGACCGGUGGCGACGAUGAAGACGCAGCCGCGCAUCCGCUGCUUCCCCGUCAUCGCGGGCGGCCAUCAGGAACGCAAUCUGUCAGUCAUCGCUCUGCGACAGCAGAGACGUCGCAGUCUCGCCUUUCGGAGUCCGUCUCUGCGCGGACGGGCGCCGCUGCGCCGGGUAACUCAGCAGCGGCGGUGCAUCCGCUGGUGUCGGGCUCGAAGGACUACCGCCAUUACAACGAGGCGUACCGCUGCGACAGCGGCUUCUUUUCCGAUGGUCUCCACAGCAGCUUCAACGGCGCUGGCAGGCAGCACACAACGCUGCUCAGUCUUUUCUUUCACCCGUGCUCAUCCUCGCCCAGCGCGCGGUGGACGCGUUUUCUCUACUACCCUCUCCGAUUCGUGGUUCUCCUGUCAUGGACCUUGUGGAAUAUGCUGGCACAGCUCCUACCAUCUCGAUCGGCCGUUGUCUUGAAGGAGAGACCGGCAAGUCGGCGCCAGCCCGAGGCCGCGCCUGGUGGGGUCGCCCCUGCCGCGGCCACGCAACCGCUGUCACCACCAAGGGUAAUACCCCAGACGUCACGGUGGAGGCUGCGUCGAUCGCUGCGUGCCUCUGACGUGGUACCGGCCUCCGCGUCGCCGUUUGAGUACAUGUCGUUUCUCUUGUACAAGUACAUCCCGUUUGCACCAGAGCCAGAGGACGUUGAUGUGGCACUGUGGAGUUGGCUCGUCCUGCACAAUCCGUACCCGCAGCAGAGUCUUCGACUGCUGAAGCAGAGUCUACUGGUGCGGCAGCGGGUCGUGAGCGCCAUGACAGGACGUCUUCAAGCCGAUGGUGGCCUCGACGUCGCCGCUGCGGACGUGUCGCAGUGGACAAGCUUCGAGAAGGUAGGCGUCAUGGGUGGGGAGCGGCUCACCGGGUGGGAAGCGCAACAGCCGGUGAAGUGUCGUCAGGAGCUACCGGUGCUGCUGGCGUGGAGGCCUGCAUGGUGGUUCGCGCGCUACUCCUCCCUCUCUCUUUUUAUGCUCGUGGCGCUAGUCUACUGGUACGCCUAGGUGACUCAGCAACGUUUGUGACGGGGCGGAGCAGUGCUCGGCGCCUGCCCAGUUGUCCGUGUGCGUCUGGGUUUGUUUGAUGGUGGUCGUGAUGAUGAUACGGGAUUCGUGGUAUCGGGGAUCGCAUCGAAACCAAUGCGAUACGCGGCGGCACCUGCCCGAAAGCCGCGUGCAGAGACAUCUUCUACUUCGAUAACUGGGUGUGUGCGUGCUGCACCGAAAUCACGCGACACGCAUACCCUCUUCCGGCCUUGCCAUCUGACGCGACUUUGUCUCAUCGCCCCACCCCACCCCCACCCGUCCACGCUCUCUGGUGUCUGGUAUUUCAUGCAUGGCAAGGUGGGGGUGAGGUGGCACAGCAUGAGGUGGAAGCUGAGAGCGUUGCUAGUGAUUUGUGCCCUGUGCAUAUCCCGCCCUGCUCACCGCGCAGACACUCGCCAACGGCUGUCGGAAGCGAGCAUAAAGUUCGUCGUCGCACUUGAGCAUUCCUUUGCUGCCGUAC